rnacentral:lncRNA from 1 species
GGAGUGCGCAGGCGCGGCCCACCGAGUGGACAUUUUGGUCUUUGUCCGCGGGUCAGGACGGUCUCUUGGUCCACGUGGCGCGUAAGUAGGAGGUGGGAUCUGGGCGUUUUGGGUCGGUCGGGCUGGGGAGGUUGAAGGGUAGGAUUCCCAAUCGUUAGGGCCGCGGCGCGGGAUUGGGGAGUGGGUUUAAGAGCUUCUGGCCUACGUGUGAGCGAAGGUGGGGCCCUCUGAGGAGGGUUCGAGCGUGUGUGACCCUGAGUUUGACCGCAAAGUUUGUCCCGUUGUUUGGAAUCGUUGAGUGAAUGUGGAACUGGUGCGGAAUUGUGUGUGAUUGCGCCUGAGGAGUACAUGUGGAGACCAGCAUUGAGGUGUAACGUCUAAGCCGAACUUCCCGUGUCGAAAAUGCUGAUGACGAUAACGUUGCCAUCUUCCUGGAACACCUACUUUACUUGAAGGUGUGGGGGGGUGUUAGUGAAUAAUUUUAAAACGAUUUUUAUAUAAAACACUUAUUUUCGAUUGGAAAGUACCCUGACUUACUAAAUAUUUUUUAAACAAUAUUUCAAAAUAAUUUUUUAUCGUUGUUACGGGGUUCUGGCUUCAGACUUUCAGAUCCCCUCAUCUUUGGGGUAUUUUAAUGGAGCUGCUAGGCAAAUUCCUAGACUAUCCUUUCACUUUGGGUAGAAGUGGGCAAAAAGCUCAGCAACAGGAAGUCAGAGGUUGUAGAUAAAGUACAGUUAUCCUCUUUGAAAAAAACUCAGUAGUUGAGAUGCUCGUACGAUGUAUAAAUUUUGUGCCAUAAUGAAGAAAAAUAACUUCUGGCUGGUAAUUAUUAUUAUUACUUUUUGCGGUGCUGGUGAUGGAACCCAGGGUCUGUUCACUCUAGGCCAGCGCUAGCGCUCUUAGGAGACUAGAUCUCAUCCCUUAAGAUGUUUUUAAUAGACUUCAUCCGCAGUCACCUUUCGUGUAACUGUAUAUGAUACGAGUUAAUAAUUUGGUACCAAAUUAAGAUUUCCAAACGAAUAGACUAGAGAUAUAAUUGAAGAAAAUGACUGUUUUACAAUAGCAACAAAUUAAAACACUAAAAAAUAUAAGAAAUGUUCAAAUUAUUAGAAAAUAACUUUAAAAUGCUACUAAGGGGUGUUACCUAAGAUGUGAACAAAAUAGAAAUACCACCUUACCUAAAGUAGUGUGGAGGCCUAGGGACUUAGCCCCGUGGUAGAGUGUAUGCCCAGCAUGUGCAAAGACCUCUGCAUUCAGUCCCCAGCACCACACAGUAAGUUUAUUAAUGUCCUGUAAUAUCAACGAAAGUAUUGACAGGCUUGUUCAACUGCGUUAAGCUGAUUUUAUACUUCAUUUGGAAAAACAGACAAGCAACAAUAGGCCACUGAAAAUCUGAGGGUGUGGGAGGUGGGAUUCAGCCCUAGCACUUUAAACAGUUUCAAGGCUGGUUUUGUGGCUCAGUGGCAGAGCACUUGCCUGAAUCCCUGGGUUCCAGCCCCAGGACUGCAAAAAAGGGAAAAUAACACCAAUUACAAAAAAAAAAAGGUGGGGGGAGGAAGAAAGAAACAUUCAGAAAUUAAAAUGGUAUUGGCAUGAGUACAGCCUGUGAAGGCAAUGUUUACAAUAACUACUACCAGGUAGGAGAUUAUACAACAAAACAUGCAGCUGUACAAAACAAUGGGGAGGAAGCUUUCUCUAUAUUUACACUGAAAUUACAAAAUUAGUUAAGUGAAAAAGUAUAGAAUGUAGAGUGUGCUUUAUUUGCAGUAAAAAUACUGGGUAUCUUUGAAUUUCCGUUUUUAAAAAAGAGCUGGGCGUGGUGUUAACAUGCCUGUCAUCCCAGUGAUUUGGGAGGUUGAGGCAGUAGGAUUGGAAGUUCAAGGCCAGCCUCAGCAAUUUGGACUCAGCAAUUUAGUGAGACCGUCUCAAAAAUAAAAACUGGAAUGGACGGGAUGGAGCUCAGUGGUAAAGCUCCCCUGGGUUCAAUUCCCAGUACCAAAAAAAAAAACAAAAAAAAAACCAAACCUAAUAAUCUAUUUGUGUUGUGUGUAGGGGUACUGUAAUAAAUAAUGCGAAGGCAACAGUACCUCUUUGCUUCUUUUAUAAAACUGUGUAAUGUAGAAUACAUUCUAAGGGCUUUUUAAAGAAGGACAUCAGAGGGCUGGGGUUGUGGCUCAGUGGUAGAGUACUUACCUAGCAUGCAUAAGGCACUGAGUUUGAGCCCUAGCACCACAUAAGAAAAACUAGAAAGGGCUGGGGUUGUGCAGAUAUCAAUGGAGAAUACUUGCCUCACAAGCGUGAGGCCCUGGGUUUGAUCCUCAGCACCACAUAAAAAUAAAUAAGCAAAAUAAAGGUAUUUUGUCCAUCUACAACUAAAAAAAUUUUAUAAAAAUAGAGAUAUUGUGUUCAUCUACAACUAAAAAAAUUUAAAAAGGACAUCAGAUUUCCUGUGUUAACUCCUCCCUCUGCCACUUUGUACCUCAGUGACUUUGGCAGGUACUUAGACCUUAUGACUCAGUUUCUUUUUUUUAAUAUUUACUUAUUUUUUUAUUUUUAUUGAUUUCUUACAUACAUGACAAUAGUGGAAGACUCAGUUUCUUACCUGGUAAUAUAGAAACAGAAGAAUCUGAUUCACAGUGGUUUUGCAAGUCAAAAAGUUGAUAUAUAAAAUUCUAAGAAUAGAUUUAAUUUAAUAAUAGUAUUUACUAAUUUUUUUUUUGUGUGUGUGUGCGUGCGCAUAUGUGGUUAUGGGGGUUAAACUAUGGUUUUGCCCAUACAAGGCAUGCACUCUGCUACUGAGUUACAUUUCUAGUACUAGUGCUAUUAUUAUUUGUUGUCUGCAGGAAAAUUUAGGAACUUUCUCAAAAAUAGUAUAACCAUUUGCACUGUUUAUGGUAGAAAUUUCUGAAAUAUAAAUGCGAUUUUCUAACUUCUGUAUCUUAGAAUUUUUACCUUUUUUGUUGUUGUUUUGGGGCAUUUCCUCUUAGUUGGAAUGAAAAAAUGAGAAUUGUGUUCAAGUGCUCAUCUUUAGAAGUUCAUCUACCUCCUUCAUGAAACUUCUUUGAUCACUAAGUGUUACCUUCAUGUUUGUAAUCCUGAAUUUCUGGUAUUUUUAGAAAAUUCUAAAGGUAGUUCAUUUUUGGCCAUAAUACACAGGAGCUGAUCUUUUCUUUUCCCUCCCUCCCUUUCUUUGUUUCUUUCUCUUUCUUUCUUCUUCCUUUCCUUGUUCCUUUUUCUUUUCCCUUUUUCUUUCCCUUUCCCUUUUCUUUCCUCCCGCCCCCUCCCUCCCUCCCUCCUUCCUUCCUUCCUUCCUCUCUUUCUCUCUCUUUCCUUUCUUCCCUCCCUACCGUAAUUGAACUCAGGGGCACUCAACCACUGAGCCACAUCCCCAGCCUUAUUUUGUAUUUAAACACAGGGUCUUACUGAGUUGCUAAGUGCCUCCUGCCAUUGCUGAGUCUAAUGUUGAACUCUCAGUCCUCCUUCUCAUUCUCCUGAACCGCUGGAUGACAGGCAUGCGCUACACCAGGCUAGGAGUUGAUCUUGAAUACUUCAUAUAGCAUUGUAUCAGGAGAGGUGUACUAUUGUGGCUGGUCCACCAUUGUUGACUAUACUUUUCCCUUUAUGAUCAGAUGUUUGUCUGUGGUUUUACUUUGGUAAAUCAUUUAACUGAUGGUUUUAGCAACAGUAAGUGAUCCUUGGCUGAGUCAGUAAUUUCUGUAGAGCUUGUAAAGUGAUUUUACAGUAUUUUUUUCUAGGUCUUUAUAUUUAUUUGAUUGUUACCUCAAAUUUUUCCUGGGUUUUUCUUUUUUAAGCAAUAUUAUUUGCAGAGCUGGAUAUUGAACCUAGGACCUCACACAUUCUAGUUAGUGCUCUACCAGUGGCUAUACCCAGCCCUAAACAUGAUUUUAACCCAUUAUAUCCUAUCAUUCUAUAUAUAGGAUACUUAUAAAAAAAAACUUCAAUUGGGUAACAGUUAUACCACCUAUGGUCACUUUGAAAUAAAUGUUAUGUUUUUAGAGUUCUUUUGAGAAAAGAAGUAGAUGAGUGAUUAGAGCAUUUCAUAUAUGUAUAGAAAAUAUGUUUAAAAAAAUUUAAGGUAUUUAAUGAUGUGUAUGGCAUUUUUUGACUUUACAGUCCAGGAUAUAUCUUUUACUGCCCCUUUUUUUUUUUUGUUGGGGUUCUGGAGUGCUUUACUACUGAGAUUUUUAGGCCUUUUUAUUUUUAUUUUUUUUACUUUGAGUUAGUGUCUCGCUAAAUUGCUGAGUCUGUCCUUGAACUUAUGAUCCUUCUGCCUCAGACCCAGACACUAGGAUUAUAGUGUAUCUUUAAAAAUAAACUCUAGGUUAUGAUUUUCAAACUAUUCUAGUGCACCUGAUCAGUUUUUUAAAAAAUAUUUACAGAAUUGAAAUCUAGGACUUAAUGGGUUCAAAUUGUAUAGAUUUAGUGUGUUCUAAUAGCACCAGUGGUUUGUAUGGGGGGUGGGAUGUUUUAUGCUUGUGUCAUCACAGUUGAAAUCAGUGGCUGCUGCUUUAGUCUUAUUUUGAAUUGACAUCAUUUAUCCUUGAAAACUUUAAGUAAUUGAAAUCUAGGUUUACUUUGUUUAUAUUCUAUCCUGGAGUGGAAUUGACCACUUUCUCCAAGGAGUUCUAGAGAAUGGCGAAAGAACCUUAAGAUCCAGGGCAAUGUUGUUUCAAGGUUGUUAUUUGUUUGUUUUUGGUGCUGGGGAUGGAAGCCAGGGCCUUCUUGGCAGUUGCUCUAUCACUAAGUUGCAUCCCCAGCCGCUCAAGGCCAUUUUAAAUCAUGAGUCCAUAUUAAUAUUUCUAAUUAAGCUUAAAUGGCAUAGUAUUUUUUUCUGUUAUCUUAGAUCCUAUUGUAUUUUGAAAUUUAAAAUUUGAAGCAGGUUAUAAGUACUUACUACUGAAGAAUGAAGAGAAUGAUUUCAAAAUAACAGUAUUGACAGUAGUAAACCAUAAACAUACUGAAUCAUUAUGGCUUUUUUUUUUUUUUUUUUUUGGUUCUUUCAGUGUAUCUCUUAGAGAUGUAUAGUUCAAAACUUCUUUGUUCUAAAGCCAUUUGAAAUCAAUUCUUUCUCUGAGGAGUUAUGUAACUAAAUUAAUAUACAGUUAACUUCAUUUGUUUCCAUUUGUUUUCAAGUUGAGACUGCUUUUUAAAAGAAUUUGAUUACUUAAAAAAAGUAAUACAUUUCUAUGAUUCAGCAAAAAUACAUCUCAGAAAUAUUCUGCUCUUCUAAUUACAUUCUUCUUUGUCCCAUGUAAGUACAGUUUAUUGACUUUUUUGUUGUUUGUUUCUUGUUUACCCUUCAAGUGGAUUUUUUUGUUGUUGUUUGGUCACAUUUAUUCCUCUCUCCGAUUCCCCACUCUCUUUACAUAUAGGGUAGCAUACCAUCGUCACCUCUUUAUACCUCACUUUUUCCACUUAAAAGUUCUGGGGCUAGGUUGUGGCUUGGUGGUAGAGUACUUGCCUGCACAUGUGAGGCACUGGGUUCAAUUCUCAGCACCACAUAAAUAAAUAAAUGUAUGUAUUGUGUCCAUCUACAACUAAAAAUAAAAAAUAAUUAUGGGGCUGGGGAUGUGGCUCAAGCGGUAGCGCGCUCGCCUGGCAUGCGUGCGGCCCGGGUUCGAUCCUCAGCACCACAUACAAUCAAAGAUGUUGUGUCCGCCGAAAACUAAAAAAAAAAAAAUAUUAAAAAAUAAUUAAAAAAAAAAUUAUACCCUGAAGAUGUCCAUCCCCCUUCCCCCCCCCCCCCCCCCCCCCCCCCAGUACUGGAGAUUGAAGACGGGUACUCUACCACUGAGUUAUAUUCCUACCCCCUUUUUAUUUUAUUUUUUAAUUUUGGGACAGGUGUCUCCCUAAGUUGCCCGGGAUGGCCUCAAACUUGCAGUUCUCUUCCCUCAGCCUUCUCAGUAGCUGAAAUUACUGGUGUGGACCACCAUCUGGGGCAAGAUGUUCUUAUUAUCUCCUUCCCCUUCUUAACUAUGGUGUGAGUAAGGUAUCAUAGUGUGGUUGUAACAGUUGAUUCAGUUAAUCCCCUGUUGAACAUUUGGCUUUCUGAUCUUUUGCUCUUACAAACAAUGCAGUAAUGAGUAAUAUGUGUCAUUUUGUAUUUAGGCAGGACUCUCUCUAAAGUAGAUUUCUUCAAGAGGAAUUGCCCAAUGGUAAGUAUUUAUAUCCCCACCAACAGUGUGCAUUAGCGUCUUUCCCCCUGGAACCUCAGCGUUGGACUUUAGUGUUGAAUAUUUGAUAUUUUGCCAAAGACAUGAAUGAGAUUUAAUUUAUAUUGCUUUAUUACAAGUGAGGUAUUGAGUAUCUUUUCAUAAUUGUCUGUUCAUACCCUUUCCCCCAAUUUUUUUUUUAAAUAUUUUUCUUUAGGUGUAAGUUGACACAAUACCUUUAUUUUAUUUAUUUACUUAUAUGUGGUGCUGAGGAUGGAACCCAGGGCCUUGCACAUGCUAGGCGAGUGCUCUACCACUGAGCCACAACCCCAGCCCCUCCCCAACUUUUUUAUGGAAUGUCUUCUAGAAACUGUGUACACACAAAGUUAGCCCUAUGUGAAAUAAGUUUGAAGGUUUUUCCACCUAAGUUUUUCAUUUUGUGUUUUGAUAAGUUUUUUUGUAUAUUUUUUCAUUUGUUCACAGAGAUUUUCAUUUUUAAACUAUGCAAAAUCAGGAAGUUUUUGUAGAUUUAUCUGCCUUUUCAUUACUAAUCAUAGUCAUCUUUUCCCAUUCUGAGUUUCACCUGUUUUCAGAUUUUCUUUUUUCUUUUUUUUCUUUUUCUUUCUUUUUUUAGUUGUAGUUGGACACAAUAUCUGUAUUUUAUUUUUAUAUGGUGUGAACCCAGGGCCUCACACGUGCUAGGCAAGCGCUCUACCACUGAGCCACAAUCCAAGCCCUGUUUUCAGAUUCUUUAUAGUGCUGUAGUUUAUAUGGAUUUUAUAUAUAAUCCAUUUAGAGUUUAAAAAACAAAAAGGGCUGGGGAUGUGGUACAGUGGUUAAGCACCCUGGGUUCAAUCCCUGGUACCAAGAAAGUAAAAGGAAAAAAUGUUUUUUGAACAAAUGGAUAAACAUUUGUAGGACAUUUCUGAUACAGUAUGAAGAAGUAAAUAUUAAAACUCCAGGAAAACUAUUGACUUUUUAUUCCUGAAUACUAUUAGAACAACUGCUUACACAUUGUACUCAUGUGGCUUAGUUUCAUUAGACAAAGAUAGUGAGUAUUGAAUUCAUGCAGGAAUAAGGGCCAUAGUGAAAAUCUAUUCAGGAACCUGGGUUGGAAUGUGGUGCUAGAGAACAAUAGCAGUCAGUCAUGCGAGCAAAUGAACAGUUUUCCUAUGUGACUAAAAUUCUGAAAGCUAAUUCUUCCUUUCUGUAUGUGUGGAGACUUCAAAUGACUUAGUAUGACUUUGAGAUUUAGGAUUCAAAAUGUUUAUUUCCUAUGCACAUACUUGUGUUCUCUAGUCACCAAGGCAAAAAGUCAUUACUUUGUUCUGUUUCACAGGGCUGCUUCCUUGUGUAUCUCUGCAAACUACAUUUUCCUCAUCCUUCAGAAGGCUAUAGACCCUGAAUCCCCAGGGCUUCUCCUGAGUUCUAGGAUGGUGCUUUGGCCUCAUCAUUAACAUUCUAAUCCUGUGAUUUCCCUUGAAAGCAGGUGAUAAAGAGACCAAACUGUAUGAUCCUCCACUGAAGCAAGAAGAUCCACUGGAUGGUGGGGAAAAAGUAGAAAAGAAGUCUUGUCAGGUGAGGGAAUGACAGGCUGAAGUGCUUUUGAAGACAUUUUCUUAUUCUGUAGGUUCCUGAGGGAUGUUUUCAGUCAUAGUGUGGUUUUUUUUUUUUUUUUCUUUUUUGUUGGGGGGUGGGUAUUGGGUUUUGAAUUCAGGGGCACUUAACCACUGAGCCAUAUCCCUAGCUGGGUUUUUUGUUUUUUGUUUUUUGUAUUUUAUUUAGAGACAGGGUCUCAGCUGAGUUGCUUAGUGCCUUCCUGUUGCUGAGGCUGGCUUUGAACUCAUGAUCCUCCUGCCUCAGGGCCACAUACCCUCUCUCUCGUCUUUGUUCUCUCGUCAACACUUAAUACUUCAUUUUUACUGCCUCUGUUUUGGUUGUUUUCCUUCAGUGUCAUAUCCAGUUUCAUAACUCUGUAUGUGUGUCCUUUAUAGGUCAUAUGUCUUUGUAUAUCAUCUAGUGUUCAUGUUCCUUUUUAUUCCUUGUCUCAUUCUUUCAGUGGUUAAGUGCUUCAGAAUUAUAUUUUAUAUCUGUAGUCUUACUUCAUGUUGCCUUUUAAACAUCUCCCUUGUCAUAGAUCAGUACACUUCUCCACUUUUCUCUCUUCACUUCUGUAUACCUCUUACAUAUGUUGCCAACUUAGAAAUUAUUGGUGCCUGUCUACUACUGUGUGUGUGUGUGUGUGUGUGUGUGCGUGUGCGCGCACAUGUGGGUACCUGAGUAUUUGCUUUGUGAAAAUCCCCCUCCCAUCUUUAUUGAUGAAUACUUUCAGGGCCAGUAAAACUUUGAUUAAAUCAUUUGGGCUUUUUUCUGUUGUCUUUUGACAUAGGUGUAAACAUUUUCGAACGUCAAGGUACAUAGCAAAAAAAAAAAACAACACAAAAUUCCCUCUUGUCUCUGACUCUUAGUCCUCCUGCAGUGUUUCUUUUCAAAGAGGCACACAUAUUCCUCUUUGAGGGAGUCCAUGAAAAACCAGCAUAUGUUAUAUAUCUCUGCCACAAACAUACACAUAAGCUCUCAUUUUUCCUUUUCAUGUAAGUGGUGUUACAUAUUUUAUGUGUGCAGUAUUUUUUUCCUUAGAAUUCUUCAUCAAUACAUAAUGUAUUUAACCUGUCUCCUAUUAAUGGCUGUGUAGGCUAUUUUCAGACUUAUGCUAUUGAAGAUACCAGAAUGCAUGCUUAUUUAUAUUGAUUUGCAGAGAUAUGCAGACAAAACUGCAUCUCUUUUACUACUUAAGAGUAAGUAAAAAAUGUAAGUAAAAUGUAGUAAAAGUAAAAAUUUAGUAAAAGUUAGGUUUGAUUGAAAUAUGCACAUUGUUCUCAAAAGAGAAGUAACCAAUGUACAUUUCUACCAACAUGAUAAAUUUAUGUAUUUAACAAGUAUUGAUUAAUAGGUAUUAGUUACUGAUAGGUAUGAGGUACUAAGAAAAUGUCAAUGAUCAAAGUAGUCUUUUUAUUAUUUUGGAAUCACCCCUCUUGGAAUGCUGUUACUUCUAUUUGAUUGGUGCUUUGGUACCUGUGAUGUUGCUUAUCACAGUUGUCUCAUUUUUUGCUUUUGUCUUUUUUUAAUAUUUAUUUUUUAGUUGUAGUUGGACAGAAUACCUUUAUUUUUAUGUGGUGCUGAGGAUCGAACCCAGGGCUUCGCACAUGUAGGUGAGCGCUUGAGCGCUCUACCGCUGAGCCACAACCCCAGCCCCUACUUUUGUCUUUCUUUAUCAUAAAUCAUCCUCUUAUGGAGGUGGCUUCCAGAAUCCUGGCUUGUUCCUUUCUUCCAACCCUUUAUAAAUUAUUUUUGGAUACUUACAGCUUUUUGCCUUGCCUGCCAUCAUCUUAUCUGUUAAUUGGACAGACAAGUAUCAGAUUUUAUUCUCAUGGUAUCAGUGAAAUCAUGGUAAUAAUCCUUAAUUUUUAUUUACCAUGAUUUCAGACACCCAUAGUGUUCUGAAAAUGUUAAUGAAAAAUUCCAGAAAUAAGCAGUUCAUAAGAAAAUUGCCAUUCUGAGUAAUUGGGUGAAGUCUCACGUUGUCCUGGAAUAUGAACCUCAGUUUAUCCAGUGUAUCCAUGCUGUAUACACAGUUCAGCCUGUGACAGUAGAGAAUGAGAGGGAGAGUUUAUAUUUACAUAACUUUGAAUAUAGUAUAUUGUUAUAAUUUUUCUAUUUUUGUUGUUACUCUCACUGUGAAUAAUUUUGUAAAUUAAAGGAAAAACACAACAUAUUGUAGAUUUUGGUACUAUUCGUGGCUUCAGGCAUGCACUGGAAGUCUGGAAAUGUAUUCUCUGAGGAUAAGGGAAGAUUAGUACUCUACCAAAAUUAGAAAUUUUAUUCCAUUAUUUUCAGAUCCAGAGAUCAUCUCAGACCAGUUUCAUAUUAUGUCUGGAUUAUUUCUUAUGAUCAUUGAGGCCUUUAAAAAGGUAUACUUCACUGUACUCAAGAGAACAUAGACCAUAUGAUUAUGAAUAUGAACAUUUCUUUCUCUGUAAAAUUCUUUGAAUCUUGACCUUUGAUUAUGAAAUUUUCUACUUAUUCAGGUACUGCUUAUCAUUUAAACUUUUGUGGCACACACUGUAAUCCCAGCAGCUCAGAAGGCUGAGACAGGAGGAUUGUGAGUUCAAAGCCAGCCUCAGCAAUGGUGAGGCGCUAAGCAACUCAAUGAGACCCUGUCUCUAAAUAAAAUACAAAAUAGGGCUGGGGAUGUCAGUGGUGGAAUGCCCCUGAAUUAAAUCCCCAGUUACACCCUCCCCCCAAAUAAAAAUUUAAACUUUAAAAAAAUAUGUUUUUAGUUACAAAUGGACAUAGUACCUUUAUUUUAUUCGUUUAUUUUUAUUUGGUGUUGAGGAUCAAACCCUGUGCUUCACGUGCUGGCCAGCACUGUACCAUCCCUAAACUUGAAUUAAGUUGUCAUUAAAAUUUUCCUACUAAUUUCAUCUUUUUUUGAUCAGCCCAUUGAUUGUCCAUCCUAUUUGGUGUUUUCUAGAGAAAUUUAAAAGUCUUCAGUAAAUUUUAUUUAUAUUUGGAUAUCUACAGUCUUUAUUAUAAACUGUUGAAGAGAAUGCUUGUGUUUUAUUUUUCCUGUUGGCAGUUUUGAGUACACAUGAGGUGCUCUUAAUCUAUGAAUUAUUUUGUGAAGGAGUGCUUCUUAAUUAUUAUCAUUUUUUAAAUGGACAGUUUUUAAGAGUAUUGCAGUAAUCUUAUAUACCCACCAUGCAUUGAAUAAUUAAUGUUUUGUUGUUUUUAUGUGUGUCUAUAUCUGUUUUGUGUACCAAAAUGUCCUGACACUUCAUUCCUAAAAAAUUAACUAUAUCUUUUCUAAAAAUAAUGAAAUCCCCCAUAUAACCAAAAUACCAUUGCCACACCUUAAAAGACUAAUCAUAAUGCUCUGAUAUUAUAGAUUAUCUAGUUCAAGUUUCUCAGUUGUCUCCAAAAUAUCUUUUAUAGGUUUUUGGGUUUUUUUGUUUUUUUAAAUUUCAGGAUUAGUUAAGAGAUUUGGUUGUUGCCUUUUUAAAUGGUUACCCCUCACCAUCAUUUUCCCCUGAUAUUUCCCUUAAUAUUUUUAAAAUGUAUACUGUCAGAUGUGCCAAAAGAAAAAAAGGAAAGCCGUUGAUACUAUCCAGCCUUUAAAGUUAUAGUUAGGAUGUUAAAGGACUUUGCAAUAUAUAAAUUUGUAUUUAAAAAAAAUUUCAUCUGCUGGGGAUGUAUGUAUGUUAGUGGUGGAGUACUUGCCUGAUAUGGUCAAGGUCCUGGCUUGAUUCUUUUUUUUUUUUUUUAAUUUAUUUGUUGCCGCAGUUCGGCUGGGCAAAAUAACCAGGAGGUGACAAACAACUUGAAGUUUGAAGCGGGAAAUGCUUUAUUACGGAACAACAGCAGUAUAUAUACCUAACUGAUUACACACAGCUUGUCUCAAUUAGCAUCAUCUAGAUACAGUAGUCAGCCAAUAAGGAAUCCUCACCAUCUUAAUGGCAUUGCCUCACAAACCACUCCUCCUGGCAAACUGCCAGGCGCCAUCUUGACUUGUUUUGCAGUCCCCAACAAUUUGUUAGGUAUAGUUGGACACAAUGCCUUUAUUUUAUUUAUUUAUUUAUUUUUAUGUGGUGCUGAGGAUCGAACCCAGGGCCUCGCACAUGCUAGGUGAGCACUCUACUACUGAGCUACAACCCCAGCUCCCUGGCUUGAUUCUUAGCGCUGGGGUGGGGGUAAGGUGGAGUGGGGGGUGGGAAGGGCAGUAUGUAUGUAUCUUAUAUAAAAUACUUUUAGAAAAGUGAAUAUAAUUGUUAUUAGUAGUUGAGAGAAAGGAUUUUAAAAGAUAAAAUUAGGUCAUUUAAGAGUAUGUUCUUGGAACUCCUUCCAGGAGGAUUAAAAGAUAGGAGAGAUUAGGCUAAGAAGGAUAUGAAGAACAAGAUAUGGAAAAUUGUGACUUACCAUUUAUAUAUUUACCACUCUUGAUCUUCUUUAGGGCCUAUGAAAGCUGAGAAUUUAUUUCUUCUGGCUAUCCAUAUCUUGAGGCUGGGGAUAUAGCUCAGUUGGUAGAGAGCUUGCCUCACAUACAUAAGGCCCUGGGUCAAUCCCCAGCACUAAAAUAAAUAAAUAAUCAAUCAAUCUCUUUCAGGUCUUGAGGGAGUUUUUGCUUUCUCAGACAUAACCUUACAUAAGAUUGAAACUCGACUCCUUCCUUAACUGUUUUCCAUAGGAUUUAGUAACUUGUUAGCAAAUCAUUUCUUUCCCACUGGAAUGUAAACUUGAGGGCAAAAGAUUUUUCAGUUUUAAUCAGUAUAGUUUCUCUAGAGCCUAUACUUGUGCCAUGCACAUAGUAAGGAUACAAAAAGCUAUCUAAUUCUACAGUGUUUUCAUCACCACAAAAAUGCUGUACCCAUUAGCAAUCACUUAUAUUUUUUAAAAAUUGAGUACCUCUAAACUAUUUGGUUUAUAUGGUGAUAUUUAUCUUAAAAACAUACAAUUGAGGGGCUCAGUGGUAGAGCACUUGCUUAGGACAUGUGAGGCAGUAAGUUCAAUCCUCAGCACCACAUAAAUAUAAAUAAAUAAAGGUAUUAUGUCCACCUACAACUAAAAAGUAUAAAAAAUACAAUUGAGAUACUUUUAAAAAUAUUAAUUUACUUUAAAAAAAAUGGGCUGGAGUUGUGGCUCAGUGGUAGAGUGCUUGCCUAGUACUUAUGAGGCACAGGGUUCGAUCCCCAGCAUCACAUUAAAAACAAUGAACAAAUAAAAUAAAGGUAUUGUGUGCACCUACAACUAAAAAAAUAUUUUAAAAAAAUAAAAUGAUUUCAGGUAACUAAACAUUUCUUAAUUAAAACAGUAAUUUUCCGGGCUGGGGUUGUAGCUCAGUGGUAAGAGCGCUUGCUUUGCCCGUGUGAGUUGGGUCCUCAGCACAACAUUAACAAACAAAUAAAUAAAUAGUAAUUUUCCAAAACAAAAAAAAUGUAGUAAGAAAAGGGAAUUGUUUUACAUAUUUGUAAAUAUCUUUGGUUUAAUACAAGAUGGCUGGAUUCUCAUAUUAACUGUUGUGAAAGAAAUAUGCCCACAAAAUCAGGCUUUACAUAGCCCUCAUUUUUCUAUAUAGUUAGAAAGGGGAAAAGUAUUUUAAUAGCCUUUUCAAGUAGUGAUGAAUAUUCUUUGGUACUAUAACCAUGUUGACAAGGGUUUUUUUUUUUUUUUUUUCCCUUAGAUUGUCUGCCAAUGUAGGAUUUGAAACUGUAUAAAAAAUUUAUUUUGUACUAUUGUAUAAAAUCCAGUUUUGAAUAAAUUUAUAGGCAUAAGAUGCUCUGGUGUGCUUUUGCACAGUAUGGUGACUAUAAUAUAUUUUAUAUUUCAGAAAGCUUUAAGAAAGGAUUUUGAGUUUUCAUCCUAAAGAAAUUAAAGUUUGGACUGGGGACAUAGCUCAGUUGAUAAGAGUGUUUGCCUGGCCUGCACAAGGCCAUGGAGUCCCCAGCACCAUUAAAAAAAAGAAAGAAGAAAAGUUUGAGGAGAUUUUUUUUGUUCUUUGAAUAGUUCUUCGAAACAGUUUUUUCAUUUUUUUUUUUUUUUUGAGACGACUUUUACUAAGAUAUUCUUUCCUUGGUUACCCUCUGAAUUUGUCCUUAAAGCUUUUACUACUUGCUACUUGUUACUUGUGAUGAUAUUUGACAAACAAGGUACCUAUACCUACCUAACCAUGGCUGAAAGUGUUAGAGGGAGGUCAUGCAAUUCUUUUGGAGUAAGAAGACCCUGUUCUUGGUAAAUGGUAACACAGUCUCUACGUAGUCUACCUCAUCCUUGAUUCUCCCUUUCUUAAUUUCUUUCUUUCUUUUUUUUUUUUUUUUUUUUGGUACUGGGUAUUAAACCCAGGGGUACUAACCACUGAGCAACAUCUUCAGUCCUUUUUUAUGUUUUAUUUAGAGACAGGGUCUCACUGAGUUGUUAAGUGCCUCACUGUUGCUGAGGCUGGCUUUGAACUCACAAUCCUUCUGCCUCAGCCUCCCAAGCUGCUGGAAUUACAGGCAUGAGCCACUGCACAUGGCUAUUUAAUUAUUUUUAUGUGGUGCUGAGGAUCAAACCAAGUGCCUCAAACUUGUUAGCCAAGCACUCGACAACUGAGCUACAACCGCAGCCCCACAAGGGAACUUUUUCUUAAUGCUUAUUUCUCACAAAACCUUGUUAUUGUUUCAUUAGUGAAAUAUCUUCUUAUAACUCUCUGAUUGGUAUUUGUGUUUCGUUGUCGUGUCUUGCUUGUAUUUCCUCCAAGCUGUUUUUUUUCUUUUCUUUUUUUAUGUUUUCUUAUGUUUUGGCAGGGUUAUUCAAAUGUGUGUGAAAUACUUAUGGCAAUCAUAUUUAACAGUGAUUCACUAAAAGGGGAUCAUAAGUGCUUUUGUUUCUGGGUUAGUUUAAUGUUUAUCAUGUACCUUUUGGUUUCUUCAGAGAAAGAUCCUCUAAUAUCUUGCUCAUAGGUAUGUAUGCAUAUCUUAGUGCCAACAUUGUUUUGGCUUCUGCUGCUGAAUGUCAAAUCUAUAUGUAAUAUGGUGCUGGAAGUCUUGCCGUAUUACAUAUAGGUUUAACCCUAGUGGUUUCAACAUAGUGGCUCUCCCCGUCAUCUCAUUAUAGCUUGAUGGUAGGAUGCUUGCCUAGCAUGCGCAAGGCCAUGGAGUUCAACCCCCGUACCAGGGGUAAAAAAGAGUAUUGAUUUGCUGGGUGCCCUUGAGGAUGCAGCUUAUUUGAUUAAAUUUCUACAAAGAAUUAGUCAACUUGAUAUGAAGAAGUUAGUCCUUGUCUGUUUUGACUGGAUGACUACAAGUCCAAAUGUCAUACUAUCCCCCCGCCCCCGUGGUAGUACAGGAGUUUAAAUUCAAGGAUGUACUACCAUUAAGCUAUAUCUUCAGUCCUUUUAUUUAUUAUUUUCAGACAGGGUUUCACUAAGUUGUUGAGGGUCUUCCUAAGUUGCCAAGGCUGGUCUUGAAAUUGUGCCUCAAUUUUCUCUCUCCUAAGCCUCCCAAAUUGCUGGCAGUCAUACUUUCUUUUAUUUGGCUACUAUCCUUUAUUCCUUUUUCUGAAAUAUUUGUGUCCCUUCAUCUCCUGAUUUGCUGGGUUUCUGUUCUCACGACUAAAAGGCUCAGGGGUCACUCCAGUUAAACUGGGCUAAUUGGGCUGCAUGAAAUAACCACACAGGAGACACAAAUACCUUUUUCUUUGGGGUUGCUGUGAUGGCUCCUCUGACCUUAAAGGUCCGCAGAAAGAGAGCGAGAGUACACGCUGACCCCUUUUAGUGAGAAGAAGCUAUUCAAAUGAGGCAAGGGGUCAGUUUUCAGGGGGCUGAGUCUAUCUUCAUUAUGUCCACUGUCAGUAGGUUGACUGAUACCCGGGUAGGCUAGGGGCACAGUAAGAAGGGGACACACAUGAGGCACUUCCAUGGAAGAUUCUAUCCUAAACAGGACAAGGGGUUAUAUUACAAAGGAACAGGUGAGCAUAGCUUCACCCAUGGGACUGUAGCAAGACACACCCAUGCACAAGACACCGACAUUCGAACCCAAGAAGAGUGGGGAAAGCUCUGCCACAUUUCUGUGACUGAGCACCUCAGCACCCAGCUGGGGCGUAUGUCUCAGUCACAUGUAAGGUUGGUCUCCCACACUGAGUCUUUUUGAUAUUUUGUAAUAAAAAUCAGAUUUUGAUUAACAUUGUCAUCCUCUUAUGCAGGAUCUUUAUAUUAUAUGAGCUUCCUCAAAUAACAUAUUUUAUUGUAUAUUUUUUUUUGUGGUGCUGGGGAUUGAAUGCAGGGCCUUGUGUACAUCAGGCAAGCUCUCUGCCAACCGAGUUAUAUCCCCAGCCCCCCACAGAUAACAUUUUGUUGUGCAUUGAAAAAUCUUUCAUUGUUGAAAAAUUAUGGCUGUUGUGUCCUAUGUCUCCUACAUAUGCUUUUUCUUACAAGUUUUUACCAUUGUUCCUUGUUAUUUUUCUUUUUAAUACAAUUGUUUUUAGUUGUAGUUGGACAUAAUACCUUUAUUCUGUAUAUUUAUUUUUAUGUGGUGCUAAGGAUCGAACCCAGUACCUCAAAUGUGCGAGGCAAGUGCUCUGCUGAUUAGCCACAACCCCAUUGCCAUGUUCCUUGUUAUUUUAAUCUGGUUUUGGUAGGGACCAGUCGUGUGAUCUUUUCCCUUUCUUAAACAUCUCAUUUAAGUCUUAUGGUAUGUGGACUGAGAUAGUCAAGUAACCACAGCUUUCUCAUUUUUAUAUGCUCAUCUUUUUAUCUGUUUGGCAGUUCCUCAUUGUUAGGCUUUUUGCUGAAUUUGGGAAUGGCAGUGUUUUUUCAAGAGUGGUCUAAGCUUUGUGAACCCACAAGUUUAGCUUUUACUCACAUGCCCCCUCUAAUGGUUCUCUUCUGAAAAUUUAAUUAGAGACGUUGUUCAUAUGGAUUUCUUCCUUCUGGGAGAUGGCCUACCAGCAAAAAGCACAAUUUGAUAUUUUAUUGCUGGUAAUGGGAACAUUCACAAAUAAUAGUUGUCGGAGACCAGCUCCAACAGGGGGUCUCAGGAGACGAACGGAUGGUGAGGAGUCUGCGAAAGAGGGGUGGAGAAACAACACAGACACCAAAGUGCAGGUGUUGAUCCCAAUCUUUACUUGUGAAGCUGAUCAUAUAUACUUUUCAUUUUGGCAGGCUCACAGUACUUUGUGGUUACAAAACAGGAAUCAUUAUUCAAAGAAACAAAAUAUUACGUAGCUACAAUUAGAAUAGAAGAAUGCAUAAGCAAGCAUUUGUACUUUCAGUUCGCGUUUUGCUUUGAGCUGUUUCUGCUUAGUUAACUUUUAAUAAUAGUUAGAAAUGUCCCAAUCUAUUGGCCUAUACCUUGACUAUUCUUUCUUGACUUACUGACUGGAACCGGUGCCAUGGUUACGGCAAGUGGUUGACUUGUUAUUAAUUUUAAUCAAACAAGAGUAAGAGCACAAACCAUUGUGCACAGGAACAAGAACAAGUUGCCCAGUACUAAGCACUAAUCUGUCUUCUUAACAUUAAUUUUUCUUCUCUAGAUUUUAGUUUAAUUUCUCAAAAACUUCCUUGACAGGAAUACAGGGAGUUUUUCACUAGACAUUAACAAUUUACACUCCACAGCUGAAUCAUUGCAUUUAGAGCAAACAGAUCCAUUCUUUAGAAGUAGUUGCAUUAAUUGGGAAAGUCAUGUUUUUUCCUUCAUACUUAAUGGUCAUAUGAGAAAUCGCAACUAUACUUAUUAAAGGAACACAAAAAUAAAUCAGCCCAUUCCCAGAAACAUACUGCGCUCCUCCAGAGGAUGGAUGCCUUGCGCCAUCCACCUCAGUAGGGCCUUGCCAUUGCCUGAGUCAGGGGAGGGGCACAGCAAAUAGUGAUGGUAAUGUAAAGGUAAUAUUUAUGAAUGCUCACCAUGCACCACCUAUGAUUCUGAGCAUUUUAUAUAUUAACUCCUCUAAAUUAUCAUUCUUUACUCCAUUUUAGAAAAAGCCUGAGAAGAUGAUGAACAGAUAGAGAAGCAACAAGACUUGGGAGGCAAGUUGUGUUCAUCAAACUACAGACUGAGGAAAAAAGGAUGUGGAUAUAAGAAAAUUGGAAAAAUCCUGUUUGCUCAACCUCAUUUCUUUAAGGAAACAUUUUUGAAGUUUUAGGUUGAAACUGUUUAGACUUAACCAUGAGGGAAGGUAUGUAGUUGAGUCUCCAAUUUUACUAGCUGGAUGUUCUCUACCACUGCUUAUUUCUUAUGGUAAUAUCCCCCUAUAAGUGUAAAGCAGUGUGAAAUGCCUUCAGUAUAAAAAGUGUGAUAUAGCAUCUGAUAGCAGAGCAUUCAUACUGGAGGAAAACCUCAUGAGUUUACUGAAUGUGGGAAAACUUUUACCCACAUAUCACAUUUCAUUGAACAUAGAAGUCAUGCUGAAGGGAAACCUUGUGCUUCUAAAGAGUAUUGAAAAGCCUUUAGCUAGAUGAUAAAAUUUUCUCACAAAUCUUAUCCAUUCCUCUGCAUUUGAGAGGUCAUACAGAGAAGCCUUCUAAAUGUAAGAAAUGUGGAAAUAUCUUCAGUCAAAAGUAAAUCCUUGUGUAUCAAGAAAUUCAUACUGGAGAGAAACCUUGUGAAUGUGGGAAAGCUUCCAUUCAGAUGUCACACCUCAGUCAGCAGAGAAUUUAUAGUGGGGAAAGCCCCUUUGCCUGUAAGGUAUGUGGGAAAGUCUUCAGCCACAAAUCCAAUCUUACUGAGCAUGAGCUUUUUCAUAAUAGAGAGAAACCUUUUGAAUGUAAUGAAUGUGGGAAGGCCUUUAGCCAAAAGCAGUAUGUCAUUAAACAUCAGAAUACUCAUACUGGAGAGAAGCUUUUUGAGUGUAAUGAUUGUGGAAAAUCCUUCAGCCAGAAAGAAAACCUCCUUACCCAUCAGAAAAUCCACACUGGAGAGAAACCUUUUGAGUGCAAAGAUUGUGGGAAAGCUUUCAUUCAGAAGUCCAACCUUAUCAGACACCAGAGAACUCACACAGGAGAGAAGCCCUUUAUAUGUAAGGAGUGUGGGAAAACCUUUAGUGGGAAAUCAAAUCUUACUGAGCAUGAGAAAAUUCAUAUUGGAGAGAAACCCUUUAAAUGUAAUGAGUGUGGAACAGCUUUUGGCCAGAAGAAGUACCUCAUAAAGCAUCAAAACAUUCACACUGGAGAGAAACCCUAU